UACUUUUCACCUUCACUUCUAAGAAAUUCUUAUUAUUCAAAGAUUUAAGGAGAUUGGAAAUCACUAUUUUAUUCACUGAAAAUUUGAUUCAACAAUCCAAUGCAGAUUUAGUAUGAAUUGUAUAUAACUGAAGUAGCUUUGCUAUCUAAAUGCAACUAAAAACAUUCAAUUGAUCACUUCUGCUUGUUAUGUUGAUGCAAGAGCUACAGUUUAAUGUUAUCAGAUGCUCUUAAAUGCUUUAUCUGUAUGUUUUCAUUUAAUCCUCACAAUUUCCUUUUUACAGGUAAGAAUCUUGAGGAAGAGUUGGUAAAGCUGGGGUUUGAAUCCAGGCAAUCCAAGGAUAAGGUCCAAGCUCUUAAUUCCUGCAGUCCCUCCUUGUCAUUAAACUUUUUUCCAGUUAAUAACAUUGGACAACAUGGGUCCAAAACAGAGCAAACUUUUCCAGGAGGAUCACUCAUGAAAUUUUAUAGAACUGCUUGAAAUAGAACUUAUUACUUUGUACCAAACAACAUUUUGCUGAAGCUAAACUCCCAGAAUAAAGGCUUUGUUUGGAACUUGUGAACUUCAAGAAGAAUAUAUUACUUUCAAAAUUUGAUCACUUUGAAUUUAAUGCAAUAGAAUGAAAUUGUAUUAUUUUUGUCUUAAAAAUGAUUAUUGAUAUACUUUGUACAUUUAAUGAAGAAAAUUGAAAAGACUCAUAAAUUCAGUAAAUCCAGUUUGCUGAAAUUUUGAAGGCAUAAAGCUAUAACAAAUAAUUUGAGUUAUAGUACUUUAUUAUGUAAAGUAAUUAUUAUUUAUCAUUAUUAUCUCACUUUUGGGGGUACUUUAUGAGCUCGUUGUGAUAUAAUUUAGUUUAGAAGAUGUGCAGCAAAACAAAUGUUCUCUGUUACUAUAUAGCUAAUCUAUGCAACAGCUGGGCUUUUACCAUCCUCAGCUGCUCCAGUUACAACAAUCAUCCUUUUAUCAGCUUGACACCUGUCUCUUAUUAUAUUUGAGAGCAAUUGUUAAUGUCCUUAAAUUUCCCACCCAAUUUAAUGCCUUUGCAUUGCUUUAUUUCUCUGAUGAACAGUUACACGGUCUAUUAUAUUAAUUCUUUCAUUUAAUCUUGAGAACCUAAAAAUUAUUAGGAAGUUAAUUGUGCAGGGAUCAGAGGUUUUUCUCACAGCAUAACUUUGUUAAAUGACACAGUUCCAGCUUCUUGCUGACACUGCAAGGGAUUGUCUAGAAUGAAGAGUUCAAUUACUUUCACAGUGCUAAUCAUAUAUCAUUAUGUAGAAGCAUGAAUCCUUAAUUCCUAAGCCACUGCCUGAAGCAACACGGCAGCAAUAAGGAACACAUUCCAAAUUCCUCUGUCCACUGCAGCAUGCAGGUAAUAACCGAAGAAUACAAUAAUUGUGUCUACUUGGCUAUGCUCUUUAUUAAUUUGGAUGUUCGAUGCCCAUAAUGAAUCAUGUUCCAUUAAAUUUUAUUCACCCACAG
rnacentral:lncRNA from 1 species